GGGGGCGUAGCUCAGUUGGUUAGAGCAAUCGACUCAUAAUCGAUCGGCCGCUGGUUCGAGCCCAGCCGCCCCCA
rnacentral:tRNA from 1 species